rnacentral:tRNA from 1 species
GGCGGCGUAGCUCAGUUGGCUAGAGCAUUCGGUUCAUACCCGAACGGUCGAUAGUUCGAAUCUAUUCGCCGCUACCA